rnacentral:rRNA from 1 species
GGCGCUCAAGCAUUCUCCCGAUACUCGACCGCCGUGGCACUACCGGUCCGCCGCAAUGCCUCCGGGUUUUUGGCGGGUCUCGAAGCCACGGUGAGUAGGAGGGUCGCGGUGGUGUGCGCUGAAGGGUUCGGCGUGAGCCGGCCUGGAGCCUCCACUGGUGCAGAUCUUGGUGGUAGUAGCAAAUAGUCGAGAGAGAGUCCCUUGAAGGCCGAAGUGGAGAAGGGUUCCAUGUGAACAUCAGUUGGACAUGGGUUAGUCGCUCCUAAGCCCAAGGCGAAGGCCUGAUCCCACGUUAGCGGCAACGACCACACGCAGCACACAUGGGGAGGUAGGCCGACCCGACCAAGGUAGGUCGGGCCGGACUUAUCCUCGUGGUUCGAAGACGAACGUGUGGGGCGGCUUUGUGCGAAGUCAACAACAACAACAUUUGACAGCCCUAUCGGGAGUUGCCAGAGGGGAUUAGUGGCGAAAGGGAAUACGGUCAUUAUUCCGUAACCAGGACCCGGAUGCCAAGCAGGUGUAAGCGCCCUUGCCCCCAGGCAGGGGAAUGCUGCCCUGUGCAGGACCCCGGUAACGGGAACCAGCUCGCGUCCGUCGGCGGUGGUCCGGGAAAGAGUUUUCUUUUCUGUUUAAGGCGCCGUGACCCUGGAAGCCAUUCGCAGAGAGAAAGGGUGUUUGUAAGACGGAAAGCCGUAGAGCGCCGCGGUUCCUUGCGGCGUCCCGCGCGCCACCGCCGGCCCGUGAAACAGGCGAGGGAGGUAACUGAGGUAAAGCUGACUCCCCAUAGUCGGCGACACCUACUUUCGGGCCAGUGCGUACCCAUAUCCGCAGCAGG